GUACAUAAGCAAAAAAAAAUUAAAAUUUUUUGUUGAUGGUUUUCAUAAACAUAAGAAAACAUGAAACGUUUUCUGUCGUUGGCUUGGCCCAUUCGAAACGAUCCACGUCACUAUAUCGAGCAAAUCUUCCGGUGAUCCUUCUCUUUCGAUCUUAUUCUAUCCCCUUACCCUCUCCUUGUUUGAUAAGACUGAAUCGAGAAGGCCUCUCUCUCUCUCGGAUGUGACGAUAGGUUAGAAUCAGAGGAAAAAGAAUGAGAGAUUUCUGACGAUCGUCGAGGUGGUGCAUCAUAUGGGAAGCCGAAGAAGAGGAAGAGCAGGAAGAGGUGGAUAUUGGCGGCCAUGGCUGCCUAAGAAACGAUCUUAACGAAGAUGAUCGAAACCGCCAGUAGUAGUGGCAUUAGGCCCCACCAUCUCCUCCACUGUUGCUCGUGGGAUUUAUCGGCGGAUGGCUACUUGUUGCUUGGGGAAGCGGAGUCGCACCGAUCGCGGCUCCGACGAUCGCCUCAUAUUUCAUUGCUGAGGGAAUUAUAGGCUGCUGCACCUACUGCCUAGCACUUCCAAGGACGUUGACUUCCACUGGGGUCCGAGGGGGUGGAAAGGGCCACGAUGAGAGAGGGAGUGAUCGCCACCUCCGCCGUCGAGUGCUCCACCAGUCACAGCAUGGUUCACGGCCACCUUAUACCUCCGCGCAUGGUCUAGCACCUCGCCCUUGCUCCCACACCUCAAGGAGCCACGAUGAAAUUACCUACCAACGUCGAUAGGUGGCGAGAUUCCUGCCUCCUGCCCGUCAUCUCCGACAGUAGCACUAAGCCUCCCGGCGAAACAGGCCCGUCGAUUUGGAUCCAAGCAGCCCUACCACUGAUUGGGAAUGACAGUUCCCAAGGGAUUCCGUCAAAAUCAAAAGGCUCCAAUGGAGUCGUCGAUUGCAUACUGGACAACCCUCGUGCCUAACGUGGAACGAUUAUAAUAGUUCGAUGGCAAAAUUGAUCGCCAAAGGUUGUGGGCAACUCGCGGUGGGGAUGUGACAGUGGAUCAGUUCAAGUGGGAGGAGGGUCUACUGAAGAAGAAGAAGAAGACAUGGGAGCCCAGCUCCAUCUACGUCACUCCGUUCGCACGAGGAGAGAGAGGUCGAGUUUUAAUUUGGGUAAAACUCAACUGUUCCCUUAUAUUGACAUCAAUCCCACAAAUGUGAAGAGGUUUCUAUCAAAGUAAGCAUGAUUAAAAAUAAAAUAAAUUAUACUAAUUUUGAAACUGUAGGGAUCCAAAUAUGACUUAAAAGUCCACACACACACACACACACAAGAUGCUAUAAGGAACCAACGAUAGGGGAACAUGUAAUUAGUACAACACCUUAAAUAUUAUCCUAGUAGUCAAUAUAUCAGAUACUCUUAUCAAAGAUUCACAAUUCAAAACUUUAAUUGAUACAUACUCUUAUCAAGGAUUAACAUUAAACUACAUUAUCAUUGAUUGUAAAAUCUAUGGCAAUUUCAAGCAGCAUUAAUUCUUGUUUUCAGGACAAAAACAGGUUGACCCCAAUCCAUGUUCACAUUCAUCUACCAGCCAACAGUGGCAACACAC
rnacentral:lncRNA from 1 species